CGAGGUAUGCUCGCUCAUUCAAGCUCGACCCCAGUCGCCUCGACAACGAUUCAGUCGCGGUCGACCCGCCACGCUGCGAGCUUUGUCGAGUUGCUUUUAUUCUAAUGUGUGAGAAAAAAAAGAAGCGCUGACUUUUUUGUACAAGUUCCUUCGAAUUAUACAGAUUUUAAUAACAGAAUCAGAGGACGUUGGAAAGCUAAAAUGUGUCAUCGGCAAUUUCUGCAUCAUUUAAUUUGAAACCAGUGUACGAAUAUACAAAUCUAUUUUUAAUCACGUCGAAUUUCUUUUUAUGUUUGAUUGAAAUCGAGUAAAGACUCUAUGGAUUUUUUGUGAUUGUUAGUAUUGUGGAGUAGCAAGUCUCAAAAAUUGACGUAAAAAUCCGAAAAUGCUCCUCGACAGGAGUUGUACGAUUGAAGAGUUACACUGGACGGUUCGAUUUUGUCGUAGAAAGUCAUCGUGUGCUGUCGAUAUAUGCGAUUUGAUGAGCGACGUGCCGUGAUAAUGCAGUGAUUAAUCGUGAUAACGUUUACGGUGCACGUGCGCAAGUGGCGACAAGUGCAAGUGCAUUUUGUGAGAACGUGCUUUGUGCUUGGCAACGACAAUUUUAUUGAAAAUUACAAGAGAUCAGAAAUCAUACACGAGGAUCAUUGCAUGGAGGACCAAUUUACAUCCAGAAGAGUGCAUGCGUGACAGCAAAAUAAGAUGCUAGAAAUGAGCUAAAACUUUUUUACGAGGCGUCUCUUAUGAGUCGUGAAUCUCACGGCAAUUAUGUUGACAAACAAGGCUAAGAAAAAUAAAUUUGUAAGAAAGGAACAUUCUUUUUCUCGAAUCAACAAUGAAUGUCUGCCUUGCACGUCGAUUGGUUGGGACUUCCGUCACCUAAAGUCAUCUUCUCGGAACUCUUCCGUUUGACCGAGAGGAUAAACCAAAGUGUGGUCGACGCUCGGUGACGGCAGGGACCGUCAUUGAGCGAGGAUGACCACAAAAACGACAUUCGAUCCAACGGAAAUCUCUUCAUUCGAUAUGACGUCGAUGCUGGAUGUCACUUCGACUGAGGAGGAUCCUUACGUCAAUAACACUGAAGUCAACGUUGCGGAGAUCAAUUGGCCGGAUGUGCCAUCAGCCGUCGUGAAAGUCUGCAUCCUUGGUUCAAUCAUCACUACGGCUUUGUUCGGUAAUCUUCUUGUGAUGGUGUCCGUGAUACGACACAGAAAACUACGAAUCAUAACGAACUACUUCGUGGUCUCGCUAGCAUUAGCGGACAUGCUUGUGGCGAUGUUUGCAAUGACCUUCAAUGCUAGCGUUCAGAUAACUGGCAAGUGGCUCUUCGGCUAUUUCAUGUGCGAUGUCUGGAAUUCUCUGGAUGUAUAUUUCAGCACUAGUUCGAUACUUCAUCUAAUGUGUAUCUCAGUGGAUCGAUAUUAUGCAAUCGUGAAGCCGCUUAAGUAUCCUAUUAACAUGACAAAAAGAGUGGUAGCAUUUAUGCUGCUCGCUUGCUGGCUAGCGCCAGCUAUUAUUUCCUUUGUGCCAAUCUUUUACGGUUGGUACACUACGGAAGAGAACAGUGUGCAUAGGCACAAGCACCCAGAACUAUGCGAAUUCAAAGUCAACAGAAUAUACGCCAUACUUUCAUCGAGUAUAUCCUUUUGGAUACCAUGCACCAUUAUGAUUUUCACUUACUUUGCAAUAUUCAAAGAGGCUAAUAAACAAGAAAAGCAGAUGCACAGCAGAAUGGGCAAUGCUAUGUUACUUAGUCAUAGACCGAGUAAAGAUCUUAAUAAUUUAAACGGAGAACUGAAUAGUGGCGGAUCAUCGAAAACGCUAACAUUGAAUGAGAUUAAUACUGAACAUUUGCACACUCCCACGAAAGAUAAACACAUGAUGAAAAUGAAAAGGGAGCAUAAAGCGGCAAGAACAUUAGGUAUUAUUAUGGGUACUUUCAUCCUCUGUUGGCUGCCAUUUUUCCUCUGGUACGUGGGUCCAAGUGUACGUUACUACGGCGUUAUGCGGCCAAAGCUGUCCGUGUCCCGAUAUCGUGAUCGCGAUCCUCUUCUGGAUUGGAUAUACAAACUCGGCAUUGAAUCCAUUGAUCUAUGCGUACUUUAAUCGUGACUUUCGAGAAGCGUUUAAAAACACGCUACAGUGCGCUUUUUGUUCGCUCUGUAAACGCGAACCGUCGGACCUCGAAGCGCUGGACUUCCGUCGACCAUCCCUCAGAUAACAAUAUUACUCCGGAUGUUGAGCAACAAUUACAUAUAUAUGACGAUCGUACUAAAAGCAUAUAUUCGGAGACAUACAUGAAGCACAUCGACCGACGAAGAUCGAGUGAGUUUGGAAGCAGUCUUU
rnacentral:misc_RNA from 1 species